CAGAUGUGUUAAAGAAAUGGUUGUUAACAAUGAUUUUAUAUUCCACUACAAAACACCGUUUAGAAAGUUUAAAAGUACUUCGAAUUCUAUCUGCGAGGUCUGCCAUGGAUUUAUGCCUAAGCCUUUUCCAUAUGUAGUCAGAGGCGUUCCGA